rnacentral:rRNA from 1 species
CCGUGACCCUUAAACAGAACAGACCGCAAACGAGUCGCCCGUGCCGCCGGGCUCCGGCCCGGCACGCUGCCCCCCCGAACCUCCCGCGGGGGAGGGGGGUGCCGCGAAAAAGAGCCCACGGCGCCCCGGGCGCUAAGGAACACCAGUACUACCUCCUGCCCCGCGGAGCGGUCGGCCCGCCUUCCUCUCCCAGGGCAGCGGUUACACCUUAAUCGACACGACUCUCGGCAACGGAUACCUCGGCUCUCGCAUCGAUGAAGAACGUAGCAAAAUGCGAUACCUGGUGUGAAUUGCAGAAUCCCGCGAACCAUCGAGUUUUUGAACGCAAGUUGCGCCCGAAGCCUUCUGGCGGAGGGCACGUCUGCCUGGGCGUCACGCCAAAAGACACUCCCAACACCCCCCCGCGGGGCGAGGGACGUGGCGUCUGGCCCCCCGCGCCGCACGGCGAGGUGGGCCGAAGCAGGGGCUGCCGGCGAACCGCGCCGGGCGCAGCACGAGGUGGGCGACAUCAAGUUGUUGUUCUCGGUGCAGCGUCCCGGCGCGCGGCCGGCCAUUCGGCCCUAAGGACCCAUCGAGCGACCGAGCUUGCCCUCGGACC